AGUAGAUUUUGCUUUGUGAUUCUAUUUUAGUAUCUUAUUUCAUAUAUUAGAAUAGUCUAGUUGUAUUCAUUUAUAUGUAGUGUAUCUUUGCUCUUAAGUUAUGCUUUCUGGUAUUAUUGCUUAGUUUAUCUUUUUGUAGAGGGAUACUUUUCAUUGCAAGUAAGAAAAACUUCAAAUGAAAUAAAUUUAAAGUUUAAAGAAGGUACAAAGUUGGUGAGCUCCAGCCACAGUUCUAUCAGGAUGGCUGCGUGUUGCCGUGUUCAUGUCCAGCACAACAGAAACUGAGGAAGACUCUCCUUCAGCCAUGGAACUAUAAGGAAACCAACCUCCAGAGAGUUUGCCAGAGGAAACGUAGUGAGUCAGUGACAAAACUAGAGAACGCAUUCAGGUGCUACAAGGUACAUUUUUGUCUCACAGAAUCAUCUCUCGGUGAUUUUAGCUCUCUCACUGCUUAUUAUGCAACACUAACCUUGCUGAGUGGCUGUAGUGCUCAGGGAAUAUCUUUUCAUUUCUGUAAUUCAUGAUGCAAUGAUUAAAAAUGAAUUUUCAUGUAC
ensembl:lncRNA